AGAGAUUUGGCACUUACAAUAACACCAUCAAUGGUGUAUUAAAUAAGGGGGCUGACGAGAGAGCUCAUCGUGUCCACCUAUGUCAGAUAAUUCCAUAACGCGGGGACAUUCCAACCCUGUUACUGACAUUUGAAAAACGUAAUUCUGACAUUCAAUUGUCGGCGGAUGACCAAGAGAGUCUUCAUUCCAAGUCAUGCCCUCCCUCCGUCUGCUCUGCUGUUUCUUCUAGCCUGGUUUUAUGCCUACAUAAUCUGAUCAAACACCACAAACUGGAAAGACUGAUUCUCUAAAGAUCGAUAAAGGUUUUGCGAAAAGGAAAAAAAAUCGAGUUUCCUCUUCAAAUUCUAUUUGUUGUGAGUAUAACUUUGGACCCAGAGGUAGCGAAAGCCAGCAAGCGACGUACGGCUUCUGUGAGGUUUCCGACGAUCCUUGUUCUCGUUCAACUGGAUUAAAGUUUAAUCUCGUCACGUGCUGAGACAGAUGAGGCAAAGUGAAAUAUAGGAAGAGAUCCCAGGUGACAGAGGAAGUUGUGUGAAACAUUGAUCUGAAUGUGUACAGCAAGCCCAAGCAUGGAACGCAGGAACCGCUGCUUCAUGAACGACGGCAGAUUAGCAUUUGAGAAGAGAUUGCCAUUUUAGUCCAGGAAUCCUCGAAACAGGAAACAUCUCUGCCCUUGUAGCAAGCCUACUACCAAUACCAGCCGGGCAAUCAAUGGUUGAGCGCGUCAUCUGACGGGAUCUCAAACACAGUUCUGACAGCCACGGCAGGCCGCGCUUUGUACACUAGGUAUCUACAACAUAUACGGAGGGAUUGUAACUUGACAUACACCGUCAGCACCAGAACCGAGCAGAACACAAACACAUGUCACAUCCUCCCUUGAUUGAGUGACUGGCAGCGGCGAGAUCCCCAAGCAGUCUCAUAUAUCGACAUCCCUGUGAAACAAGCGCUGUAUUGAAAUCGGGAUAUUUAUUUCGAUACCUAGUGUGUUUUAUUUUAGAUUCGAAAGAAAACACAUACCAUGACGAUUUAGCAGUAUAAUGUGGUUCACCUUGCACACGUGUAGACCAUCCCUGCGUUCUCAAUGCACCUGUGCCGUUUCCAGUGCUGCCAGAAUUCACCGUCUGUGUGAUAUCAUUCAUAGUCGCUGAAGCAAAGCUUGCCUUUGUUGAACACCACGAUGAAUUCCCAAAGGUGUGUCUUCAACUACAAAGGAAUACAUGGAUGAUUCAGUAACCGUUACCAGCGCAAACAAAUAACACGUUUACCAUCCUGGCAGUCGUAUAUAGGUAAGCUAUAAACAUUCCUGCUUUACCAUGCUUUUUAACUAGUGUGACCGUCGGAAAAUAAGGCUGACCCGUGUCGAAGGAAGACUUUUUUCUACCGUUACACUAUGUUGUGAGUCUCGGACCUGGUAUUGAUCGUGUUGUGUCAACGUGUUUCGGGGCUCGGGUGAUCGCCACUAUGGAUUCCAAACACCGCUGGUUAGAUGGAAUAUCAUAGUGCAGUUGGCUGGAAUAUUCUCCGUAGUUAUCCGUUAUGGUUGCUGAGGUGUAGGGAGAUCCAGGUCUUGAAGGCAUUCUACUAUAUAGAUUCGUGUCUGUGUGGCACCGUUCCUGUAUUUCACCGUGUGACAUUCCAAUCAUGUCUCAGGAUAUAGGAUCAUCUUUGAUAUAACUGUUCGUGCGUGUUGAACUAAAACUGCUACAUAUGUGAUCUCUGUGAAAAGAAGCCAAGAAUUAUACAGUGUUAAAUGACAGCCCUAUCUGUGCCUAUGAGUGUGGUUAAGAAAUGUGACGGCGUGGAACAGAACAGUGGUCAAUCGCAUAGCCCACACGGACUUAACACAAUAAUGUGAAGAAGGUCCUGAGUACUAGAUCCAUCCUAGGACCAGGAAACAAGGGUUAAUUUCAUCUUCAGGAUUACACCAGAAUACGGCGUUAUUACAUUAAGAUGCUGCACUGGUGAAAGGAAAUGUGACGAUAUUGAUACGAAAAUGACAAGACACAGUAAAACGAUGUGUGUACGUCAUAAAGCAUUGUGGAUUCAUCUCGCCCGUUUCCUUGUGUGCUAAAAUGCCAAUGUGUUCAUUCAAGGAUGUUUAAAGGCAUAAAUGUGCUAAUUCGUAUUCCGUUGGAGGUUUCCCUGUCAGUUUUUGUGGUUCCAGCACAUGUGUUGUAGACUCUUGUGAAGAGUUAUUUUGCUGUCGUGAAUCUUUUUAACGACUAACACCAUCAAGAUGAUGGACCAGGAGGACAAGGUGGAGAUGGAAGAACCAUCGUCCAUCACACGCUACCACCAUCUGAUUAUCAGAAACAAACACAUCCUUUCUGAAAUCAAAUUAUCUGUCGUCAUCGUCAUCGGCAGUAUAGUUAUUGUAGCCUGUUUGGUUUAUAUCGUUAUACAAUGUAGGACAAAGAGCAAUGCUGCUCGUGCCAUGAAAAAUAGACGCGCUGAUGACGAGGAGGAACUGUUCGAUUCUUCCGACACAACUGAACAACUUCUUCCUCAGCCUCCAGAUAACGCCAUCAGACUGAAGGUUCGGCGUGAACCGGAGUUCUAUGUGUGAAUGCCACAGCGUGUUUGAGGAGGUGUAGAUAUUUCAGGGUAUAUGCUGAGAAUUCAUAUGUACAUUCCUAAGGAAGAUGGUGCAGGUAUCUUUGAGGAGUAGGCACUGCCGUUGUUCAUUCUGUGGAUACAGCUUUCACUGAAGCCUGUGAAGAUGGAGAGGAUAUUUAACACAUCUGUGAAUUGACGAUAUGUGGAUAAGACAGGGAGAGUGCUUUCCCACCGUGCACAUGCAACGUCCUACUUGCUACACAACUGCUUCAGAGAAGAAUUACGUAGCUGUUUAAGAUGCUGUAGCUUCAUCCCUUGGUUAUAUUGGUAUAUCAUUUUGGGGUUUUAAACAGGCUAAAGGUGAAUGCGUGAUUCAGGGAUUAUUUGUGAGCGUGGCCAGUCUUUUUACACUUUUUGAAAUCGUUUUACAACAUUUCGGUUAUAACUUUGUAUGCUGAUAUUUGGUCGUAGUUUAUACUUUUGGCUUCUACGUCCUUUCAAAUAUUAUGUAUACUGUCGGCCUGGCAUUUGAAUCAGUAUUGGUUUUUUUCAUAUGCCUGGAAAUAUAUAUGCUCAAAAGAAGUUAUAGAACAUCCCUUUUUCGUAUGGCUAUGGUUAAUCUUUAGUCAUAUGGCAGAUUUACUAUAGUCAUAUGAACAAAUCAGGUGGUUUUUUACUUCUUUUGAAUUACAUAUCUCAUAUAAGUAUGAUCACAAACAGGGGAUAUUUAACAUUUCGAGUGAAUUUGUAUUCAAGUAAAUUAAAGCGCCAAUUAAGUAUUAGAAAAAUACCCUUUUAGCGAUACUUACAACAGCCCUAAAAAUACCAUCACCACCCACCCACCCACCACAUGAAAUAAAAUAAUAAUUUGUCUCAAAGGUUAAGUUGACAGAGGAUUAUAAAUGAUUAUAAUAAGUAACUUCUGUGGAUGGUGAGGUUGCUUUUCGUUGAGCUGAACAUCUUCAUCUAUUAUAAACCGACGCAAGGGUAUAUACUAAAUAAUCGAUAACGUACCUCAACGUUCAAACCACACGAUCUUUACGCCAAAUAUAUCAUUAGAAAAAGGAAAGACGUCGUUGGUGAAGGUUGCAUCAGUAGGUAGGUGUAUAUUUGUUGGACAUGUGUUUUCGAUUGAUUGCCGUAGGAUAUCAGGAAUCAACGACAGCCACCUUUAUGCUAAAUACAACGCUAGAUAAACACAUGAAGGUAUAAUGUCCCCAAUUUGCGACUUCCAAUAACGAAAACGAAAAAAUGUAUGCAUUUAGAGACAGUUCAACUCUUUGCACGUGAAAACGAUUGCAGCUAGGAUGUGGAAGUACUGUUAACUUAACAGUAAAACUAGCGAAGCAUUAUGUCCAAGUAUCAAACAUUAUAGUACUUUUCUUUUCUCUUUAUUCUGUGCAAGAGGCAUUGGAACGCACGGUCGUAAUCAAGAAUGCACAACACGCGAUAACGUAAAUGAUAUAACAUCAGUAUGGCUUACUUCCUCCUGGUUCGAAAGUGAUUUCUCAGAGAUGCUUUUUAUCAGUGAAGUGGUCCAAUGAAUAUUAAGUGUGUCGACGUCGGUUAAAUACUUCCUGUCAGAGAUCAGAACAGAGCAUUCGCCAAAGUUUUGUCUUAUAACUCAUAUAUCACGUUACGUUAUAUUGUUCACCGAUCCUGUUCUGCAACUCAGAAGCACUUGAAAUUGCGACCACUGAGGUUUGUACUAGAUUUAUCAAAAUGGGGAAUGCCACAUUUGAAUAUUAACUUACGGAAAGCCAAUGCACACGUGAUUUUAUUGAAGUGUCUUGGAAAGAUCUUGAUUAUCACUUCUAUGCAAUCAUUUCUAGCACAAACACGGGGUACAUUCCCCAAAAGUGACGGACAUGUUUUUUUAUGCUGUUGUUUUUUCAAACAAAAAUUAUUAUUUUAAAUUUGUUUGUCAAUGUCCUUGCUCCUAUUUGUUCCUAUUGUUUGUUAGUUUGCUCUUUUGUUGUUCUUUGGUUCAUUUGUGUGGGGGCGUAAGGUAGCUUGUCUUUUCGCUCGUUCCUUGUUGCUGUUUUUUUGUUGUUUGUUCGUUUGUGCUUUCGAGGGGGGGUAGUGUGUAAGAGAUCCACCAUUAGAUGUGUGAAGGAUCAAGAUAUAUUUUGAGAUAAAAUAAAAAUGGUAAUUGUUUAUUUUGUUGACAUAAGACAUUUAUUUACUUAAUGUUAUUGCAAUGUGUUUUGCAGGGGUCAUAAUAGAUUGAUUGGUCCUUUUUAAGUUGGCGAGUAAGCCUGGAUUUACGUCGCUUUUGGCACUAUUCCAGCAAUAUUACGGCGGAAGAUAUGAAUGAGCUUCACCCAUUUUUCAAAGAACGACCGUACGCUUUAACCACUUGGCUAUUUCAUUAUCCCUUAAAAAAGGGCCCGAUUCUUAAUCCUCAUGACGAUAAUUCUAGAAUAUCUGUAUGUACAUAUAUGUACGUAUUUAUUAUUAGUCUACAAUGAAACCCCGACUAUCCGGAAACUCCAUUUUAUGCACAAUUACUUUAAUUAUCGUUUUUGUGAAUACAAAAGACAUGCACUUUUAUCCACACAUUUGUACUGUACUGGGAAUAGUUCCGAUCGGAAUAACGGGGGGUCACUGUAUGCAUAUUUGAGUCAUUUACACAAUUUGAAGGCUAUGUACUGUCACACUGAUCCUGUUUAAUAUCGUCACGAUAUGGCUGAAAUAUUGCCGAUGUGACGCUAAACUUCAACUCGCUCACUCACUGUUUAAUACACGUGAUAGGUCACAGAAAUUAUUUAAAUUUAGUCUGAAGUUUCCAAUGGUUGUAUCAAUCCCACUCUGUAAAUUGUGCAUAUCGAGGUAAGCUUGAGUACUGAUCGCAUGCUUGGCACAACCGAUAAACAAAAUCAUUUGACGCUUGGUCAGAUUACCAAUCGAACAGUCGAGUAUUGAUUGAUUUCUUUCUACAAUACAUACGACGAUCGCGUUCAACUGACUCAAGGAAUUGUAUUAUUUAAAUCCUUUGAUAGUUCAUGCAUUUCCCUAUCUCUGUCUUACUAGGAAUUAAUUGUCUUGAAGUCGCAACUAUAAUAAUAAUAAUAAUAAUAAUAAUAAUAAUAAUUUGUCCAUUUGUAUGGCGCCAAGCUCCAUACCAGCUCGUGUGCUCAUGGCGCUUACAUUAUAACCCCAGUCAAUGGAUCAGUGAGCACUCGAUUUUCAUUCUCAGCUCCCUGGGGAGUAUACAACCGAAGCUGCCUGUGAGGCGCUAGAAGGUUAACAGCCACAUUACCAUCUCAUCCUACCGGGUACCCACUCACUGCUGGGUGAACAGAGGCACAUUUCGAACAAAGUCACUUGCCAAAAGAGACACCAUUAUAGAAACAGAAUUUAUCCCCAGACUUAAAUGUGUUACCCUUCUUUACCGAUAAUUAUUUUCUUGAAUAGAAGUUGUUUCAAGACUUUUUUCAAUUAUAGAAUACAAUGACACUUGCAGACAAGUGCUAUGAAAGAAGGCACAUAACCACAAUUAUCUCUAUGGAGUGGAACACUCAGUGUCCAGAUACUUUUAAUAGUAGAACUAUUAUGGUCACUAUACCAUCAUUAGACCAUAUGUUUUCAUAGUUAUCAGAAUAUUAAUGAAGGAUUAUGAAUCAGUAUUAUCAAUCUCAUAUUCGCUCUGUUUGUUUAUAGGUUUGUAAGCACAAUACCCAUUGCAGUAUUAGUAACGCAACUUUGUGAAUACCUUUAACGACACGGACUUAAUUCGGUAUAUCGGUACCCGUAUUGCUGGUACGUAUGUAACUCGAAAGAUAGUCUUCUUUAGUCAAACUGUGGCUUUGUUUUACAAAGCGAUCUCAGCGCUACGAGUAACGAACUCUAAUUACUUAACCAUAUAUAAACUGCCGAGCAAAAUAAAUAUACACUUGUAUGAAUUGGACCAAAACAUUACAAACGUAUUAAAAGAUUACUAGGCUGUAAACAGUCACCGAAAUACUGCAAACUUAAUGUCCAAAACACAACUAUGAUACCCGUAUCAAAUACGUCAUGUAUCAGCAUCGAAUAACCGUUUCUUGUUUGUUUCAUUUUUAACCACAUUCAAACACGGGGGUAUACUUUCUUUUGCCCGGUAGUGUAUUAGCGAUAGGCCUAACACCAAGACAGUUUUGUGGACCUAGACUCUUAUGACAGGAUUGCCCCUUUCGUAAUGAGAGUAUUUCGGAUAUAACGAGUUCGGUUAUGUCGAAACAUCUGUUUAAUCGAAAAAAGUGUAAUCCGAGUAGUUGGCUGACUAUCAUUUUUGUGGAAGGCGAAUUGUUAAAACGGUUGUGUCGACUUCGUUACCCCCGGAGCACAAAGCGUUGAUUGGGUUGUUACCGUACAACAUUUGAAGCACAUAACAGGCUGUAUCAUAUUGCGACUCUGACGUCACCAAAGAAACCAAUGACGUCAUAAUAAUUGAAUGACGUCAUGCAUAUAUAACUUACAAUUCGCAGUUAGGUUAGAAAAAGUAAGAUCUAAAUUAAGGAAUACUUGAAUAUUAUUUAAAUUUACAAUAAGCAGUUAGAUCUAGGUGUGUAAUAAUAAGAACCAAAUUAUGGAAUAGUGGAAUAUUAAUGCAAUUUUAAAAAAUCAGUUAGGUUAGACAUAAGAGCCAAAAUUUGGAAUGUUUGAGAGUUAUUGAAAUGCAUAUGUACACAUAAAAAUUACAAACAGUUUUGCCAAACACAAAGUUUAAUGAGAAAAAUUAAAUUGUUUAGUGACUCCAUAAAAUAUACAUUGGAAAGGCACGAAUGUCUUCUCUAUGUUAAAUUGCUAGUAUAUGUGGGUUAUUCGACAUAGUUCAUAAUAUUUAAUAUUUCAUAUUUAAUUCUAUUAACACAUGUGUUAAAUGGAUAGGAAAGUGGAGUGAACGAAAUUUGAAUCUAUUUUGUUUUUAUAUGUCUGUUUGAAGCUAGAUUACAUCAAGGUAUUCACCGUCCAGAGUUGCGUCCCUUAAGCGCAUCGGGAUCCGACGAUCGGAGGUUCGAAUCCGAGAUUUGUUCCGAUUAUCAUAUUGGUUUGUCAGCACCAUAUAAGUGUAUAUGAGUUCACACCAGUGUUCAGUGCCUGAGACUUGCAUCACUUCGGGCUUUCCUCACACAUGAAGACGACACGUGUUUUUAUUGAAUAACUGCUCAAAAGCGGCGUUAACACAACUCACUCAUCCAAAUAUAAGUACAGUGGUAACAUCUCUUAGGAUCACUUUUUACGGAGGUUGGUUGGUUGGUUUGUUGUUUAACGCCGCACUCAGCAAUAUUCCAGCUAUAUGACGGCGGUCUGUAAAUAAUCGAGUCUGAACCAGACAAUCCAGUGAUUAAUAUCGCAAUUGGGAUCGAUGACAUGUAUCAACUGGAUGCAUCUUCCAAGUCAUAAAUUGUAAAACUCAUUUGCUGUUUGUCCUGAAAGGAAAUUAUAAACAGUGCUCUGACUGAACAAUCCUUUAGAUUGAGUGAGGGAGUUUAAUGUAACGCCGCUUUGAAUAGUAGACCAGUUAUUGGACGGUGGGAGGAAAGCCCGAAGUGAUGCAGGUCUCAGACGUUUACAACUUCGGUGAAACCCACGAGCACGGGUAUGGUGCUGACAAACCUAGAAACAUAAUCGGGGUGAACCUGAAUUCCAGCCAGCAGGGGGCGCAACUCUGCCCAGCGAAUUGCGGCGCCUCAGGCGACUUGGCAAUCCAUGCCCCCUCACCUAGGUUGAUACUUGCUGUAAACAAUACUUAUUUGCCAAUGAACUAAUCUCCAUGCAUAUUUGUUGUCAUACAGUGUUUAUUUUCCAACUCAUGGUUGUGCACCACUGUCAUCAUAAAACAUGUUUGAUGAAAAUGUUUGAAUCACCAAAGGUGCAUUCCGAAAAAUGUACUGCCGGGCAAAAGAAAGUAUACACUUAAAAAUUUUAGCAAACAUUUAUAAACGUUAUCAAAACGAUACUGGGCCGGAAACACUGCAAAUUUAAGGUCCAAAACACAACUAUGACAUCCAUAUCAAAUACACCAAUCAUGUAUUGUUUGUUUCAUCACUAGCCAUCAUCAAACAUGGCGUGCAUACUCUCCUUUGCAAGGCGGUCUAGACUGUUUGUAGUCCUUUAAACGGUCACCCAAUGACAGUUUGUUGUAACAUUUUUAACAUUUAUACAGGGCAUAUGUUUUUUAAAAGUGUAAAAAAUCUGUGAUUAAAGUUCUGUCCUUGUAUUAAAGCAUAAAACUCCGGUAGUCCAAUCGAACUACUUGCAUUCCCGUGAACUGCUGAAAUGUAGCAAAAAUAUUCAAAACGAAUCGCCCCUCGAUCGCGACCUCAAUUUGAAAACCGCGAGCUGUUCGCGUCCUGAUCGCGAUGAAGGGGUGUUCACCUUCAAAACAAAUCACCUCAAUCGCAACCAGGUCGAAAAAUGAUCGCGUCGCGAUCGAGAGGGGGUUCGUUUUGAACAGUACUGUACAUGUUGUAGACAUCCCGACAACUUUCAACUCAACGUGUGUUUCAACAUCGACUAUUUAGCAUACUCUAUCCUCGUAUAUCCAGUAUGUCCUGAAGGUGAAGACGUGAAGGGUGUCCCAGACGUCUACGGUAGAAACCUAGGAUUAUUUUGGACGUGUGGUUGAGGUCCGCAAGCGUUCCCCUUCAACGGAAACAGCUGCAUGAGAAGUUCUCCAAGUGAGAUAAUUCGCUUCGGUGUUACCAUUAACCAUCCGAAUAAUAUCCACACAUUGUGUCCACGCGAUCCACACUUGCUCUCCAGACAACGCCACAAGGAUUAGCUGUUGUGUAUCCUUGCCCUAUAUUCUCGUUUUACGUGCAUGUGGUGUUGAGUAAAAACACCUGCUAACCAGAGUGGCUGGGAAAUAUUUAUAAGUUUAUGUUUUUUUAAUGAAAGAGUGGGCUUGCACAAAGAUUUAUUGAUUCGGGGAAUGGAAAGUCGUGGAAAAUACUCCUACACAUAUCCAUACGUUUCAGUAAGCGUACGCACGGUAUAUUCAAAUAGAGUAUCAUCGCCAAACUGACAUUUUGUCUUGAAGUCAUGGAUUUAAGCGCAUUAUACUAACAGCUUUAUUAUUAAAGUGGUUUUGAUAGACGUGUUUCUGCAAGUUCCCCGUUUAACAAUACGACUUUUGCGUGAUUAGACAAAAUAACAGGACACUGGUACCAUUUUAGAUGUAAAUAUCGCCACUUAUGUAAUAUUGAAGUUUUACGCACAUGUUAGUUUUAUCAAGAUUCGUCUUCCGGAGUCAAGGGAGUUAACCGACUAUAAAAGUCCAGUUUCCAAGGGAGUUAACUCUCUUGUCUCGGGAAGAUGAUCAAGGUUUUCAACUUGCAUAGAUAUCUGUAUUCAAAGUUGGUAUUUGACGUACUGUCAUGUUAAACAUGUAUGACAUUUUUGUUUGAAUUGAUUCAAAGUGAUGUCAGGAGUUGUUGGGUGGUAAUUGAUGGACUGUUUAUAUAUGCAACUCUUUAAUACCUCAGCUUCCCAGCACGGUUGCAACUUCGAAUCAUUGGACGUGAUUUUUGUUUUGUUUUUCACACAUUUCACUCACUGGGUUAUCUCCCCUUUAGUGAACUAACGUUGCUCACGUGACCUGGCAGUCCAGUUAUUUCUAGUUUAUUAUUCAUGAGGGGAGAUAACCGCUGUAUACUGUACACGUGUAUAUUUUAUCACACUGGACAUUUUUCUAUUUACAUUGCUUAAGACUUUUUCUGAUCUAAUCAUAUGCCUUACUACAGCUGAAUAAAAGCAUGAAUUUAACCAAAAAUGGUUUUACGCUUCCAAUAAAACCUCAUUUCAACCUGA